UUUCUCCAGGAAAGAAGGGCCUAUGUAAAUAUCCUAAUGCAAACACCCCAGCUUUCCUAGGGGGAUGGGAAGAUGAGCGGACAACUAGGAGGGCAAGGGGCUGGGGCUGUUUGCACUGUCUAUUGCACCAUGGAACUUGACUCAGGGUUGACUUCGUGCACUUGGUCGGCGUCGGUGUUGCCCAGUAGAGAGGCGAAAUAAGCGCAGACGACUGAAACUGUAGAACUGAACUAAGGAAUGCUUCUCUGGAGACGGAACCUUACCGAAGAACAAACGCCAGCCAUCAUUUGCUAGGGAGGCCUGGGUCAGGUGCCUCAGAAGUACCACUGGAAUCCCUACAAGUCCCUGAAAGGUCACUACUACUGUCCCAGGUUACAAGACAAAACUAAGGCCUAAGCAGCUAAGCAGUCACAUCUAGGUCUCCAACAGCCGGCUGGCGAGACCAUCUACGUACAUUGUCUACUUCAUUGUUUCCCUUAUUUAAACAUAUAAUGACAAUCCAAGGUAGGGGCAAUGACCCAGAGUCUAAGGGCACUUGCUGUGAAAAGGGGGGGGAUCUUGAGUUCGAAUCACCAACACCUCCAUAAAAAGUUGGGUGUGGCUAAGCACCCAGCAUUGUGCCUGAUGGAUGUGGUGGGGUUUCCUGGCCACCCGUCUGGCUCCAGGUCACUGAGAUACAUGUCUUAAGAGAUCAUGGCAGAGAAUGACAGAGCAGGACCCCCGUCGCCCCGCUUUGACCUCGGAACCUGCUUGCACAUGCGCACAAGCACACCGACACGUUCUGUGAUAUUGGAAACUGAUUUUUUCCUGUGAAUUUGUUAAUGUACCAUAGUUUGUGAGUGAACUGGGGGUCAUCGGUUCUGAUGGGACGAUACAGGGGUGCUGUUUUGAGAGCACAGAUUCUGAGUGCCCUGGCUAAUACACUGGAGCAAGCUGGACAUCAACUGGGGGCUUCCUUUAAUCCCCCUUGCAGUAUGUAAAAAGAGAGGGGGACGGGAAAAAUUGUGGGGAAGCAUGAUGCCCGUUCCUGUGGGGAAGAACAAGGCAUGGGUUACCCACCCCAGCUUUCUAAGUAAGCCCCCAAAUAAAUGUGAGUGUGCUUCAUUAGAGUUCAUCUAGCAGCCAAAGGUGAAUAUUAAUAACACAGAAAAAUCAAUAAGAGACCUCACGAGGAACAAUGGAUUAACUUUGUCCUAGAAAUAGGGAAAUCUGGGGCAACCAGAAGAGAAACUCAUUGUUGGUGUGUGAGGACCCAUCUCUUUUUGCCUCAGCCCACCACAGAAAGAGUUUGGUCAGUUUUCACCUCACCCUCCUGAUCUUCACGUGCUACUGAUAACCCAGUGGAAGAAGGAACGACUUUCACUCAGGCAGAAGUCAAGACGGCUGAGAAAGCCUCUAAGACCACUGGAACAAGUGGAGAGCUCACCAAACUCCUAUUUUCCUUUCCUGGGUGACGUGAAGAAGUGACAGAACCUCUCUGGACUCAAGUUUCCCGAAGGAUCUCGCCGCCCCAUGGUGGCUACAGGCUAGGCAAGUCGCGUGUCUCUUCUCCACCUGUAGCUGGGCCCACAGCAUGGAAAUGGGGCUCAGCAGAACCCCUCUAGAGCUGUGUCUUCCAGAGACGCUGAGACAAUGGCUCUUUACACGCUCACAUCCAGGCCUUCGUGUCUCAGCUGAGCAUCCAUGCCCCAAAGGCCGCUGGGAGCCCAAGCAGAGGCAGGGGAUUGUUAAUACAAGCGCGCAUUUGUUCUCUGAAACAUGUUGGCAUUCAGACAUGGAUUUUUUUUUUGGUAUAUUUCCAUUUAAAUAUGCAAGCUUAAUAAACAUUAUUCACCCAGAACAGAGAAAUGAAACAAAGUCUUGUGACUGAUUCUUUGGCCACAUUCUCAGAUGCUUUUCCUUCAA